AGUCCCGUCGUAUAGUGGCCAAGUACAAGGGGCUUUGGACCCCUGAACACCAGUUCGAAUCUGGUCGGGACUA
rnacentral:tRNA from 1 species